rnacentral:rRNA from 1 species
AGUGAACGCUGGCGGUAUGCCUAAUACAUGCAAGUCGAGCGAACGGACAGUAAGCUUUCGCCUCUACUGUUGGCGACUGACGGACGGGUAACGCAUACAUAGCCUACUUCUUAUACGUGGAUAACUACGUAAGAAAACAGCUACUACUACCGCAUAUGAUGUACCGCAUGAUGCAAGAGAUAAUCACACUCUUGCCGUCUGAAUUAGCCGGUGUCGGAUUAGCUAGUUGGCGAGGUAAAGGCCCACCAAGGCGACGAUACGUAGCAGGCCUGAGAGGAUGAUCAGCCACACUGGAACUGAGACACGGUCCAGACUCCUACGGGAGGCAGCAGUAGGGAAUAUUGGGCAAUGGGCGCAAGCCUGACGGAGCCACGCCGCGUGGGUGAAGAAGGUCUUCGGGUCGUAAAACCCUGUUGUUAGGGAAGAACAUAUGCGGAUGUAACUGCGCCUGUCUUGACGGUACCUAAUCAGAAAGCCCCGGCUAACUUCGUG